rnacentral:lncRNA from 1 species
GCUGUCUGGAAAUUUAAUGAACCCUGUUCUUUUGGGGUUUUGUGGAAGCUUCGUUAUGUAGACAUGAUUGAUUAAGCCAUUGGCCAUUGGUGAUCAGCUUAACCUUCAGCUCCUCCCCACUCCCCAAGGUUGGGGGUGGGGCUGAAAGUCCCAGUCCUCUAAUCCCGCCUUGCUCUUUCUGGUGACCAGCCCCCAUCCCGAAGCUACCUAGGGGCUGCCAGCCAUCAGUCAACUCACAGCAUACAAAAACACAUCACUUUGGAGAUUCCAGAGAUUUUAGGAGUUGUAUGCCAGGAAAUGGGGAUGAAAUCACAUACGUAUUUCACAAUCUUUCAUGCCCUUUUGUACGUUUAUGAGAAAUUAGGAUUAAAUCUAACCCAAACUGUGGCUUUGAAACUUGGGGCUGUUGAGCAUCUAAUAUUUGGAUGAAGAACCAGAUAAUAAAUUAUUAUAUAUAAUACAUUAUAUAUAUGUAAAUAUAUUUUUAUAUAUGUGAGAUUACAUUCUAUCUGAAAUCAACCCAAACACCUCUGUAAAGGAGCAAGCUCUUACACAUUUUCUAGGAGCUGUGUAUUUGUAAAUCGAAAUUAAGAAUAGAGCAUUCAUUUACUAAAACGAAGAGGUUUAAAGUAACAUUUAUAGUCUCAUUAUUUAGAGUGCCUUUGCUGGCCAGGUGUGGUGACUCAUGCCUGUAAUCCCAGCACUUUGGGAGGCUGAGGCGGGUGGAUCACUUGAAGUCAGGAGUUCAAGACCAGCCUGGGCAACACAGUGAGACCCCAUCUCAAAAAAAAAGUAUAUUAAAAAAAAAAAAAAAAAACAGUAGAGUGCCUUUGCCAUUGUUUUAGAUUCACUUCAAACCUUCAUCCCCCAAAUCUGUUUCCCUACCAUUCCUACAAAGUUUUUGUGAACAUGAUCUUCAUUGGUCGGGAGGGAAUUCUCUGAAGUCACAAAGUAGCUUUUCGUUUGAGAAAACACAGGGGUGUGACCACAGGUUACAGCACUGCCCCUGGCAGAUGCCCAGGACUGUCGUUCAUUCCUCUCCACUAUUUCCAUGGCCUCCUGCAGGGGAAGGGGCAAUGGCACUUAGUACAUUAGGGAAGUAGGAGUCUGACAGUUUCUGCCAACAGCUCGAAAACUGUGUGUGCAGAACCUACACACAGCUGGUUUGUGUGCACAGACUGCAUUAUUCUUGCUUAUUAUUUUGGAAUCUGUUAUCUUUGUACCAAGGGCAAAACGAGUGUCUUUGAUUUUACCUUUGCAAAUAAUUUUGUUGUCGAUUCCACAAAUGUGUGAGUGUCGGCCGGGCGCGGUGGCUCACGCCUGUAAUCCCAGCACUUUGGGAGGCCGCAGAGGGUGGAUCACGAGGUCAGGAGAUCGAGACCAUCCUGGCUAACACGGUGAAACCCCGUCUCUACUAAAAAAAUACAAAAAAAUUAGCUGGGCGUGGUGGCGGGAGCCUGUAGUCCCAGCUACUCGGGAGGCUGAGGCAGGAGAAUGGCGUGAGCCCAGGAGGAGGAGCUUGCAGUGAGCUGAGAUAGAGCCACUGCACUCCAGCCUGGGUGACUGAGCGAGACUCUGUCUCAAAAAAAAAAAAAAAAAAAAAAAAGUGUCAGUGUCUACUGUGUGCCUGGCCCUGUUACAGGCAUGCACGGCAGACAGAGCAGCAAACAGCAAAAAUCCCUGUCAGAGGGAGGCUUCACGCUGGUGGGGCGGAGGCAGCAGGAGCUGUCGGGACCCCGUGAAUGGCAUGAUUGCGCACGGGGCCCAGGCAGUGGCUGAGUUGGUUACAAGAAUGCGCUCGGAGUCUGACUCUGG